rnacentral:rRNA from 1 species
GACAGAGGGUGCAAACGUUGUUCGGAAUUACUGGGCGUAAAGAGCGCGCAGGCGGUCGUUCAAGUCGCGUGUGAAAGCCCCCGGCUCAACUGGGGAGGGUCACGCGAUACUGAUCGACUCGAAGGCAGGAGAGGGAAGUGGAAUUCCCGGUGUAGUGGUGAAAUGCGUAGAUAUCGGGAGGAAUACCAGUGGCGAAGGCGGCUUCCUGGCCUGUUCUUGACGCUGAGGCGCGAAAGCUAGGGUAGCAAACGGG